rnacentral:rRNA from 1 species
CCUACGGGGGGCAGCAGUGGGGAAUAUUGGACAAUGGGCGAAAGCCUGAUCCAGCCAUGCCGCGUGUGUGAAGAAGGCCUUCGGGUUGUAAAGCACUUUCAGUGGGGAAGAAAGCCUAGGGGCUAAUACCCUCGAGGAAGGACAUCACCCACAGAAGAAGCACCGGCUAACUCCGUGCCAGCAGCCGCGGUAAUACGGAGGGUGCGAGCGUUAAUCGGAAUUACUGGGCGUAAAGCGCGCGUAGGCGGUCUGAUAAGCCGGUUGUGAAAGCCCCGGGCUCAACCUGGGAACGGCAUCCGGAACUGUCAGGCUAGAGUGCAGGAGAGGAAGGUAGAAUUCCCGGUGUAGCGGUGAAAUGCGUAGAGAUCGGGAGGAAUACCAGUGGCGAAGGCGGCCUUCUGGACUGACACUGACGCUGAGGUGCGAAAGCGUGGGUAGCAAACAGGAUUAGAUACCCUAGUAGUC